UGCGUGUGUACGUAUGCGCGCGCGCGAUUCCUAAAUAAGAAAUCCGACCAGUGCCAUACGGACGUAGAAUGCACCACACGUAUUCGGCCGCCGCUGCCUGUUGCUCCGUGGUUACCGUGUAAACAUAAUAAUAAAAGCCGAUAUUCUUUGUCGUCGUCGUAAAUAGGCGAAGAGUACGCGCACGUACAUAACGAUAUUCUAUUCUAUAUAUGUAUAUAAAUGUGAUAUUAUUAAUAUUAUACACGUAAACACAAUAUAUAAUAUGUUAUAAACCGUUUUUCGUUAGCAUUGUAUUGAUUUUACGUUUUCGCGGAGAUAAAUUGUUAAAAUAAAAUUUCUGUCGUUUUCCGAGUGCAUGUGUGUGUGCGAUUUUCGUCUGCGUGCCGAUCCGAUUUGCCCAAAAUAUAAAAACGGAUUAUACACGUCCGAGACCCGAGGCAAUAUGUGGAACGGAGCGGCCGAUCGUACAGGAAACAGAGACUCGAUGACUCAGUGAUAGUUUCCGCAAAACAGCGGAAGAAACCGUCGUCAACGGCUUACCGACACGGCAGAACCUGAGCAGUACUUAGCUGUCUUAGCGACGGUGGUGUCACCGUGUACACACACCACAUAACUGAGGGGAUAGCCACAUGUCAUCCGCGGUGGACGGACAGCAACAACAACAGCCGCUGGCUGGUGGUUCGCCGCCUAUGGCAGUGGUGUUGACGCAGCACUGCUGCAAAGAAGAAUCAUCGCCGGGCGUAUCGCCACCGCACCCACAGACCGCCAUGUCGCCGACGACCGUCCAAGACAUGCCGCCCGAGAGCACGUCACCCGUGAUGUUGGCCACCAUGCAACCAGUGAGCGUGGACGAGUUCCAAGCAUCCGAUUACCACCAUCAAAACCACCAUCAGCAGCAGCAGCACCACCACCACCAACAGCAGCAUCAGCAACAUCAACAACAACACCAUCACCAGCAGCAGCCGGACGAUCCACUGGACCAGAAGACUGUCAUUUACAUACCGGGCACCGAUCCGCAGCAGACCAUCAUCUACGAUCCGCAGAACCCCGAAGGGUCGUUGCCGCCGGGUAUCACGAUCCAGCAAGAUCCGGCCAACGGUUCAGCAGUGUCCGUGUUGGUCCAAGGGCAAGCCGGACACCAUCAGUACCUGGGAGCGUCGGGUACCACCGUGUUGGUCAUGCAGGAACUGGUCGACGACAUGGGUCACAUAUUACACAGGAGACGGCGGGGUAGCUGCAGCGAGGACGACGAAGUCACCGGCGCCGUUGUCGACGGCGACGGACAGCAUCACCACCGCCGGCGACACAAUCAUCACCGCGACGACGGCAUGGCCGAUUCGGACACGAACGGUGGUGGUGGCGCCGGGGGAGGAGGAGGCGGUGGCGGGGGUGGUGGCGUGGCCGAACAACCCGCCGAGCCGGGUGGCUGGAGGCAAUCGUACUACGAACACCCGCUGACCGCCGCCACGUCAGCCAUGCUCAACAUUUCGGGCGGCGCUUCCGGAGACGAACAGGGCCAGCAGUCGGGCCAGGGACAGGGCCAGGGCGGUGCACCACUCAGUUUCGUCUACGAGUAUUACAAGCUGCCGCACCUGUCCGACUCCGUCAAGGACAAACAUCUUGCCGACAUAUGGCCAACGACAUCUUCGCCGAAUGGUUCGCUGUUACCAUCACAGUUGAAACCGUCCAACGGACUUAUCGGCACGGGUCCAGGAGGACUAGAAAUCGGCGCCGGACACCUGGGCGAUUUGCAGGGACUUUUCUUGCACCAGCAACCGCUUAAGCGGGAGCCCGAGGACCUGAGCCAUCACCGCGGUGGCGGACCACCAAACAAGGGUAACAACAAUGCGGACGGUCUGAAAACGAUCGGAGGACGUCCAAAAGUGGUGUUGGUCGCGCCCGGUAACAACGGCAAUCAGCAGGACCAACAGCAACAGCAACUGGUCGUGGACGUCGUAAACAACAAUAACAAUCAACAAGCGAACAAUAACAACGCGGUGGGCGGCGUGAAAGAAGAGUACGGCGGUGGACACCAUUCACCGCAGCACAACAGUCGGUCGAUAAACGGAACGCCGUCGUCCACGUCAUCCCUCAUCACUGAGAUGAACCCGCCGCCGCCGGCCAUAGAGUUAAUAGCCACGCCGGAUGGCUUGAAGCCCAUGUACGGCACUCACAUAUUCACCACCAUGACCGGACAGCACGCUGACAGUGGUACGCCGUCUCCCAACUCGUACGAGCACCAGCAGUACACCACGUCAUCUGUGCUGUCUGGCGGCGGUGGUGCUGGCAACCCAGGUGGCUACAUCACCACGUCUGGUGGCCGGACCCCGUUCGCCGACCCAUACACUUACCGCGAGUACUUUGGCGGUGCUAGCGGAGGCCCCGAACCGGGUCCGUACGGCUCUCAGAUCGGCGCUGGCGGCGGUGGCCGGCAGACCGCGUCUUCCUACGGCGGCGAUGCCUCCGACCCUGGCGCCGUGUCCAACGCCGCGGCCACCGCAUCGUUUGUUGAACGGUACGUCCGACAAAGCUCGUACCACAACAAGGGCGUCAUCGCAGCAGCCGGACUCACCGUCGACCUGCCGUCGCCCGAUAGUGGCAUCGGCGCAGACGCCAUCACACCACGUGACCAAAACGCCAUCCAACAGUCUUUCGAUUACAAUGAGAUGUGCCAAACACCUAGCAUGUUGGGCGAACACCAAGCACAGCGGACGCCCACCGGAGGACGGUCGAGACCGUGGCACGACUUUGGCAGGCAAAACGAUGCGGACAAGAUACAAAUACCAAAAGUAUUCUCCAACUAUGGGUUCCGCUAUUAUUUGGAAUCCCCGAUCUCUACCAACCAGAGGCGUGAAGACGACCGGGUGACGUACAUCAACAAAGGCCAGUUUUAUGGCAUUACUAUGGAGUACAUACCAGACCCGGAUAAACCAUUGACCAGUCAAACAGUCAAGAGCGUAGUCAUGCUGAUGUUUAGAGAGGAGAAAAGUCCAGAUGACGAAAUCAAAGCGUGGCAAUUUUGGCACGGCAGACAGCACAGCGUCAAACAACGGAUACUCGACGCCGACACGAAAAACAGUGCCGGCCUGGUGGGAUGCAUCGAAGAAGUAUCACACAACGCCAUCGCCAUUUAUUGGAACCCUCUGGAGAGUCCGGCAAAGAUCAACGUCGCCGUGCAAUGUCUGAGUACGGAUUUCAGCAGCCAAAAAGGCGUAAAGGGUUUGCCGCUGCACCUGCAAAUCGACACCUACGAAGAACCGAGAGACGGACCUGUGUACCACAGGGGAUAUUGUCAAAUCAAAGUUUUCUGUGAUAAGGGAGCCGAAAGGAAGACCAGAGACGAAGAGCGGAGGGCGGCCAAACGGAAAAUGACUGCCACGGGUCGCAAGAAGAUCGACGAACUCUAUCAUCCACCGUGCGAGCGAUCCGAAUUCUAUUCGAUGAGUGACCUCAACAAACCGCCAGUGCUGUUCUCACCCGCCGAGGACAUCGACAAGCUGACAUCGAUGGAACUCCAGGGAUUCUACGGGCACGACACAGACACGUCCAGUCUGUCGAACGGUGAACCCGGUUCAAUGAAGCAUUCGUCGCCUUUCCUACUGCACUCUGGCGUGGCCAACAAGCCAGCUGGCACGACGACCACGCAGACGCUCAAGUUCCACAAUCACUUCCCACCGGAUACGCACAACGUGUCUUAUUACAACAGCGAGAAGAAAGAAGUGCUGGACCAGAGUGGACUGACCACGGACGGUACGGUGUUCUCGAGUCCGCCCAACAAGCGAACGAAGCUACAGGUGCCGCCCAUCAACGAGCGAGUGAUGUUGUACGUGCGGCAAGAGGCCGAGGACGUGUACACGCCCCUGCACGUCAUACCGCCGACGACCCAGGGACUAUUGAAUGCUGUAAGCUCAGACUUCAUUUAUUAUUGAAGUACUUAUUGACAAACAACAUGGCUUAUUCUCGGAUAUUUUCACCUUCUCUCUGGAUUACGGCCAAAAUUGAUAAUGAUAUGCUGAAAUAUUAUUGUAAUGAAGAUUCAUUUCUAUUGGAAGUCAGACACGCUGAAGAAAAUGAGAACAUGCUUGAUGUUAUACUGAUUGAAAUUAUGGAUCGUUAAUGGUCCAAUCAAAUUGUUUUUAAAAUGAAAAAAAAACUUAAAAAUUCCUAUCAAUUUACCAAGCUAUGCUCAUUUCUUUACUCAACAACAUAUUUUGUUUAAGAAAUAUGUGAAAUUAUUCAAGUCGAUAUGUUAAUAUUAUAUAGUUUUAAAAUAGUGAUUAGAUCUUAAUAGGACAGUGUACAUAAUUAUAAUAUUAUAGACUAUGUUAACUUUUAAUUUCCAUAUGAACAUCCGUGACGUUCUAUUUAUUGUACUUAAGUGUUAGAUUGAUGACACUAUUAAACGACAAAAGUUCUAAAAUUUGUGCACGCCUUAUGCUCAGUCAAUUUAAUUUUAAGUUGUUUAAUGAAACAGUAUUUUAGAGAUUUAUGUAAUUGGUCUAAUAAAUUAAGAUUAUAAUACAUAGGUAAAUACUUUUAUUUGUAUAAAUAUAUUUUUAUUAAGUAGUGAUUACUAUUUUGCAAGCAUCAAAAUUGAAUUUAAUGUGAUACAAGAGAAUGGUUAUAAACUUAUUUAACUUUUGAAUUGUAUUAUAGCAUUAUAUAUUUAUAUUUGAUCAAUUAUGAUUUACAAAUUUUGACUGUAAAGUAUUCAAGACAAACUCUUUUGCUCAAUUUUUAUUUGAGUAACAAUUUAGUAUUAAAUCAUCAUGACAAUACAUUUUAUCAAUAUUGUUUAAUCGUUUAUAUUUUUGCUCAUCAAACGUUGUCAAUGGUAUAUCUUUUUGUUUUGUUUUUUUUUUUUUUUUUAUCGAGGGACGAGGAUACUAUUAUUAUUAUAAGUAAACGUAGAUCAAAACAUAUUUGCCAUGUUACUUCGAAAUUUAUAUUUUCAAAACGUUUUUUUGUACUUAUCUUUUUUUUUGUAAAUACAUUUAUUUUUAAUUAUUACGAAAUAAAAUAUAUUAAUGUAGAGUUAAUUAGUUUUAUGUACUUAAAAGUAUUAUGUUUUGUUUUUUAUUUAUCUAUUGUAAUUAUAAGUUCAAGUUAAUUCGUGUUAUAUUUUAAUUUUACCCAAAUUUAUAUCAAAUAAUUAUGUUAAAUGUAAAUAAUAUAAAAUGUAACGUAAAACAUUCCAGUUAACUUUGAAUUGUUGCUCUAUUUAUUAGUAAAACGAUAUAUUUCUUGCCAUUUAUGUUUAAUUUUAUUAUUUUCAAUCAAUACAAAAUGUAUCUAUCUUGAGAUCUGUUAAGUAAUAAUGUAAAGUGGUCUAAACAUCUAAAAUUGCCAAAAUUAGUAUCAUUUAUAGUAACUUUGAUCUCAUGUUGCUGGUUGUUCAAUAUAAGACGUUUUUUUUUAUCAAAAUUAAUUUUUUAAAGUAUUAAAGUAUUUAGUAAGUAUUGAAUUAAAUUAAGGCUAAACCCAGCACGCAUGACAAUUUUUUGUGCAAUUUUUAAGCUACAAACAUUUUCAUUAACCAAUAAAAAUUAUUAAUAAAUGUAGCCCAGAUAGAGUGCCAUUUUUAUUUAUUUUUUUAUACCGAAUGAUUAUAUGACUUUGAAAGACACAUAUGUUGCCACUUAUUAAACCCACACAGUUUAUUAUUGUAAUAAUCAUACUAUUUAUUUUUAUUUUUAUUUUUUUUUGUCAAUACUGCCAAUACUAAAUAGUAAUUGAAUAACAUGUUUAUUAUUGUCUAAUGUCUUAACCAUAUGAUUGUCAGAAAUAUAUAUAUAAUAUAUGUUUAUAUAUAUA
rnacentral:misc_RNA from 1 species